CAGAGAGGCCUGUCAGAAACAUACCCUGCUGGCAUCCUGAUCUUGGACUUCAGCCUACAGAACUGGCUCCUUAGAUGACUGCGCUAGGUACAGCAACUUGGCCAGUGUGAAAACAACAGUGAGGACCCAGGUUCCAAUCCCCACUCCGUGGCUUAUCAAAAACUGUACACAACCUUCUCUCAUUGCUUGGGAACAGUAGCAACUGGAUUCAGCCCUUCU